UGUCUAUCCGGCUUCUUUAAUCAGUUUCGUUCUCAAGUAUACCAUUAGUAUGGUCACCCGACUUUCUCCAAACUGUUGGAUAAUCUCAUCCACAACCUCUUUCUGAUCCAUGGACUCAAUCAACUCCUUAUUUCGGUUCUCAACAUUUCCUCAUAAGAUCUGAACACAUCCCUGCAUAGCUUGAUCUAGCAUCCAAACAAGGCCGAAAAGAUAGCUUACGAGAAUGCUCCUCCAAGCAUCCUAUCUCGGUCCUCUUUCCUUCUCUCGUCCGCC
rnacentral:lncRNA from 1 species